CAACAAUGAGCAAAGCCCAUACCGCAUGGUCAGCUAUAAAAGGCCCCAAUAAGACAAUGUAAAACAAUUCAAACGAGAAAACUAACGGCCUUAUUUAUGUAAAAAAAUGAACGAAAUACAAAUAUGUAACACAUAAACAAACGACAACCACUGAAUUACAGGCUCCUGACUUGGGACAGGCACAUACAUAAAUAAUGUGGCGGGGUUAAACAUGUUAGCGG
rnacentral:lncRNA from 1 species